rnacentral:rRNA from 1 species
UACGAGGGGGGCAAGCGUUGUUCGGAUUUACUGGGCGUAAAGGGCGCGUAGGCGGCAAUUCAAGUCAUCUGUGAAAUCUCCGGGCUUAACUCGGAACGGUCAGAUGAUACUGCUUUGCUAGAGUGCGGAAGGGGCAAUCGGAAUUCUUGGUGUAGCGGUGAAAUGCGUAGAUAUCAAGAGGAACACCGGUGGCGAAGGCGGGUCUCUGGGCCGUAACUGACGCUGAGGAGCGAAAGCGUGGGGAGCGAACAGG